AUUGAACGCUGGCGGCAGGCUUAACACAUGCAAGUCGAACGAGUGGCGGACGGGUGAGUAAUGUCUGGGAAUCUGCCUUAUGGAGGGGGAUAACUACGGGAAACUGUCGCUAAUACCGCGUACCAUCGGAUGUGCCCAGCUGGGAUUAGGUGGUUGGUGGGGUAAUGGCUUACCAAGCCGACGAUCCCUAGCUGGUCUGAGAGGAUGACCGGACACACGGGAACUGAGACACGGGCCAGACUCCUACGGGAGGAAGCAGUGGGGAAUAUUGCGCAAUGGGGGCAAGCCUGAAGGAGCCAUGCCGCGUGAAUGAAGAAGGCCUUCGGGUUGUAAAGUACUUUCAGUGGGGAGGCGUUAAUCACAGAAGAAGCACCGGCUAACUCCGUGCCAGCAGCCGCGGUAAUAC
rnacentral:rRNA from 1 species